CUGGUCUUGACAUCCGGACGCCGUAUGGGCAAAGCCAUAUUUCCUUCGGGACGUCCGAGACAGGUGGUGCAUGGUUGUCGUCAGCUCGUGUCGUGAGAUGUUGGGUUAAGUCCCGCAACGAGCGCAACCCCUGUUUCCAGUAGCCAGCAUUUAAAGAUGGGCACUCUGGAGAGACUGCCCGGGAUAACCGGGAGGAAGGCGGGGAUGACGUCAAAUCAUCAUGCCCCUUAUGAUCAGGGCUACACACGUGCUACAAUGGCGUAAACAAAGGGAAGCGAGACGGUGACGUUGAGCAAAUCCCAGAAAUAACGUCCCAGUUCGGAUUGUAGUCUGCAACCCGACUACAUGAAGCUGGAAUCGCUAGUAAUCGCGAAUCAGAAUGUCGCGGUGAAUACGUUCCC
rnacentral:rRNA from 1 species